UGUUUAUCAAACAAGGAGAAAAAACAUCCAGCAUGCCAUCUAAAUGAUGAAAUACGGAAUUCAGAUGUCUCCAGAAAUUCAACAAUGUUCAUCGAUCCAACGAGCAACAUUGGUCGAUCGGGUAAAAACGUGUUAUAGCAUUAUCAUACUGAAAUUAUCACCUUAGAAAAUGAAGACUUUGUUUAAGACAUACCUAUGAAUCCAGGGAAGCAAGUUCGAUAUUCUCUGUAAUUGAAACUGAUUUAAUUGGAGUUUUUAUCAACAAGAUUAUGCAUGCAUGGAAAUUAACGUAAUAACAUCGAAAUCUUAACUGCAUUUUA